GUCACUAAAAAUAUACGUAGUAUCUCGAUUAUUUGAGAAAAUAUUUUUCCACUUUUUCGGGCCGACAAAGCGUUUCAUUGUUAUUUUCAAUUCACUGAGUUCAUAGCGACUGACGAUUCUUCUACACAGAAAAUAAAUUCAAGGCAAAGAGUAAACAAACAUUUUUUCCGUCUGCUUCUCUUUCUCUCUUUUUUGCUCGUGUACGCAUAAUUCGUUUCGAUACAAAUUCGAGGACACACUGGACACAAAAACAAAUAUAUAACAGUGACUGAGGAAAACAACAAAAUUAGCAUCGCUUCUGCUGGUCACAUUCGAAAAUUUACGAUACCAAUUUUCCCUUCACAAAACCAAGAGUCUACGAGAGCGAAGGAAGUUGAUUCAGUACACUGGCGAGACUCGAAUCGAUCGUGCUCCACGUAAGCUCCAUUGUUGUUGUCAAACAUUGACAAUCCACACGAGAAACUUGUCGCACGCGCAUAGAUAAUAAAAUGUUUUUAAAAAUAUCUA